AGCGCAGGCGGCCAAGUCAGUCUGAAGUGAAAGCCCGGGGCUUAACCCCGGAAUAGCUUUGGGUACUGCCUGGCUUGAGUGUGCGAUAGGAAAGCGGAAUUCCAGGUGUAGCGGUGAAAUGCGUAGAUAUCUGGAGGAACACCGGUGGCGAAAGCGGCUUUCUGGCGCAUAACUGACGCUGAGGCUCGAAAGCGUGGGGAGCGAACG
rnacentral:rRNA from 1 species